rnacentral:tRNA from 1 species
GGGGUUAUAGCUCAGUUGGUAGAGUGCCUGCCUCACACGCACAAGGCCCUGGGUUCAAUCCCCAGCACCACCC